rnacentral:rRNA from 1 species
AGCAGUAGCCGCGGGAAUACGGAGGGAGCUAGCGUUGUUCGGAAUUACUGGGCGUAAAGCGCGCGUAGGCGGUUACUCAAGUCAGAGGUGAAAGCCCGGGGCUCAACCCCGGAACUGCCUUUGAAACUAGGUGACUAGAAUCUUGGAGAGGUCAGUGGAAUUCCGAGUGUAGAGGUGAAAUUCGUAGAUAUUCGGAAGAACACCAGUGGCGAAGGCGACUGACUGGACAAGUAUUGACGCUGAGGUGCGAAAGCGUGGGGAGCAAACAGGAUUAGAUACCCCGGUAGUCCCUGUCUCUUAUAC